AGUCUUAUAGUCAAAAAUGAUUUUAAAUUGCAAAUUUAAAGGUAAAGUAUAAUUUUAAGGCUU
rnacentral:tRNA from 1 species